UACGUAGGGGACAAGCGUUAUCCGGAUUUACUGGGUGUAAAGGGAGCGUAGGCGGAUAAGCAAGUCAGAAGUGAAAUCCCGCGGCUCAACUGCGGGCGUGCUUUUGAAACUGUUUAACUAGAGUACUGGAGGGGCAAGCGGAAUUCCUGGUGUAGCGGUGUAAUGCGUAGAUAUCAGGAAGAACACCGGAGGCGAAGGCGGCUUGCUGGACAGAGACUGACGCUGAGGCUCGAAGGCGUGGGGAGCAAAC
rnacentral:rRNA from 1 species